GACUCUCUCAUUCUUCUUCUGGUGCGCCUCCUCCUUUCUCCAGCGUAUCUCGGCCCCUUCCAAGCCAUCUCUUCACCUCCAAACCCUUUCCCAACCUAUUUACCCCAAAACAUCCCUAAAUCACCCAAAAAUAUGCCCAUAAAUCCCCAUAUUAUUUGCCCUAACUAAAUUCCCCCAAGUCCCUCACAAACAGUCCAAAAAUCCUCUUCUCCUUGAGCUUAGGGACUCGGGCACUGUCUCUCUCUACGAAUGUAGGGUCUAUUGGCUAUCUCUUUCUCUCGGCCUAUCCCUCUCUCGGGACGUAGUAGGCAGAUGACGCUCGAUAAGAGUUGGACAACAUUGAGGAAUCGUAAUAGUGAUGCUUAUUGGAACGGUCUCCAAACCUUCUUGAAUAUGGCAAAGAAACACAUAGGCUGUGAUGGGAGAAUUAGACGUCUGUGCGUCAAAUGCUUGAAUAUUAAACUACAAAAUGUAGAUAUGGUGGAGGCUCAUGUCUUUGACUUUGGUUUUCAACAAAAUUAUCAACAGUGGAUUUACCACGGGAGGUAGAAGUUGAUGUUGUUGAUGAGGUAGUCAACAACGACACUCACAAAGAAAAUGAAAAACUUAAGGUUGAUUUUGAAUUACAAAAUAUGCAACCAUCCGAUUCUGCUUCCUCCUCCACUUCCAAUAAUCAGGUGGAGGUGUUACAAAAUGUACUGGGUCGAAGGCGCGGCCACAAGCGAGGAUUGAACCGCAAAUUGAAGAAGUUGGGGUCAUCAGCUACCCACCGCUCUCAAUACACCCAUUCUCCAGCGCCUCCUCAACUAUCAUCAGAAAAAUACCGUGAAUUGGUGAAUGUCGUUAAUACUUUGACUGAACAAGUUAAUUUCUUGUCUCAAUAUUUUCUACCUAGUGCUCGUCAUUCACCACACGUUCAGAUGUCGCCUAUGUAUGAAAACAUUGUCGGGUCUCAACCUCCACAACAUUCACCAUCUCUACCUUCGACCCACCUCGACAUGUUUGCAGCCUUGUCUUCUAAACCUCUAGGUCCAACUUUUCCCUACUUGUACGAGACAACAUCGUCACAACCUAUAUUACCUCCUUACAUGUACGGAACAACACCGUUACCUUAUCUAUGGCCGAUGACACUGUCGUCGUAACUGCCAUAUCCCUACAUGUAUGGAGUAGGAUCGUCGACAUUACCUCCACAACAUCUGUAGCCGAUGCAGAUGCAGCUGCAACCACCGCAACCACGGCAGAAAGACGAUAUGGAGGACGAUACAACUAAUUUAGGAGACUAGUUUUUAUUACUGUUAGUUAAUUGUUAUAGUAUGUUAUCAAUAUGGAUUUA